GCCAAAUUCAGUGGUCCAUAACUUAAAAGUAAUAAAGUAAAAAUGUCUGCUUUUUGGCUAGGUGGUAGUCAAGGAUACAGGGUAUAACCCCAAUGUAGGCCUCUAAACGCACCUUCAAAUAAAGUUGAGAUAUUGCACCCCAAAAUGUGCCAAAAGUGCUCUUUCAAACUGAUUUGUAUUGGUACUUAUAUCUUAUUCAUAUGUCUCAUGUACCUUCCAAUAACUUCAUGUGUCCAUGACAAAAAACUGCAACAGUAGAGAUGUCCACAUGUCUGUAAAAGCACCAUGUAAGUCAUAUCUAGUAUAAACAGCAGGAUGGUACAUUGAAAUGUUGUUGUGUCGUUAUAUUUCAUAAUAUUAAAAUUCAAAAAUUCUAAUGACUUUUAUUGUCACUCUAGCAUAUGCACAAUGCAACAGUAGGUGAGAAGCUUGUGUGCAAUUCCAACCAAUAUAGCGAAUCUAACAGUCAAAGGACAAUGAAUACAAUAAACAUAUCUGUACAAAAACACAGUUCUAACAAUAGUCGUUUUCUGUACAUACAACAAGUGACAAAGUUUACAUAAAUCUAUAUACAUGUAACUACAUAGUAGCAAUACAUUUUUGUAUAACGCACUGGAUGAGACUAAUAAGAGUAUAAUAAAUUGUAUAAGAGCAAUGGAUCAAACAAACAAUCUAAUAAGCUUUAUUUGCCUAUUGUGCACACACAGACAAUCAAGGUGUUGUGGUUUAACGAGCUCAGAAUGAACAAAUACAGUAUAGACCAACACAGGAAAUGAAAAAAAAUACAUAUAGAACAAAAAUAGAAAUACAUCAAAGAUGAAAAUAAUUAAUUUACUGUGGUGAUGCGAUCGCCCGAUCUACCUAUGCUUGAUGAAAUGGUACGGUCCAGGAGUAUAAAAGUAGGCAGCACUGGUAGGCCAGAUAGGUGUGUCCUACAGGACUUCAGGAAGUGUCGUCAUUUCCGGUGGGUUGGGCUACACGUCUAGCAGGUAAGAGCUACCAGUGGCAGUUAAAGUAUAGAGAUUUAAUGUCGAACAGGGUAAAUGGAGAUUCAUUUAAUUACAGUGUGGCUGAGGAGUACUGCGGGCACUUUUGAAUGGCUGGUUAUUUUUCGGCGAGCUAUUAGACAAGUUCCGCGUCCAGUGCGUGGUGCAUUACGGGUUAUUGGCUGCAGUGACUUGGGGUGUUGGAGGUGUUGCAGCAGGCUGAACCGGCGCCACUUAGAGGUUGAAUCUAUGUCAGUUAAAUGCUGAACCUACGCUAUUAGAAGGCUGAACUGGCUUCAUUUGAAGACUGUGAUUCUCCCUUAUGGAGUAGCGCUAUCAUAUUAUCUGCACGUACAAUGACUGUCUGAACUGGAGUGUUUCUGGACGGGAGAUCAACAGUGUCACCACUAUCCGUGCUGCUUUGUUCAUUUACCUUCCCUCUCGUCUAACUUCGUAGCGGAUACCUGAAGCGGGUUGUAUUCCUGACCGGAGACAGACAGCGUUACGAUUGUUUGCAUGGAUUUGUUCAAUUUACCUGCUUUCUCAUCUAACUUCGUAGCGGAUGCCUGAACCGGGUUAUUCCCGGACGAAGUGGACAGUUCGCUGCUUUUCGGGUUGAUUCACGUGAUCUCUCUCUCUCUCUCUCUGCCGCGCCUGAGACCGUGUCUUUGUUCCGGGUCUUAGGCGAGUGAUACUCUUACUUAAGGGACAGAAACUUCUAGAAAUUACUAAUUAUUUUGUUUCCCUCGACGUGCCUAUGUGAAGCGUUCCGCUUCUCGCUGCUGAUAAGGCUAUAGGUAACGACAUUGAACUCUCUUUAUUUUUUUCCUCCCUCUGAGGACUUCGAGAGGGGUGAUUACCGGACUAGGGGUGAUAUGUGAAUUAUAAUCUGCUAUUUUGUGGUUAAUUUGUUUUGUUUAAAGUGAUUUUGUUUUGAAUUUGUUUGUUUGUUUUAUUAAUUUUCUCCUGUCCUAGAAUUGGGGAAUUGGUCGCGGCCGAGAUCCUCUGUGUGUGGUGCUGUGGUUGGUCUGGUUGCAGUGUUCACAACAGAGAUGUUUUGGCGUGUGGUGACGUGAGUGAGCACAAUGGUUGCUGAGUGUUUGGAUCCAUCGGACGCCUUUUUUCGUUUGAGUGUUUUUAGUAUUAAUAAUUUGAUGGCAUGAGUUUUAAGGCUUUAAAUUAAAUGUUAACUGGUAUUUUAUAUUGACUGUGAAAUAAAUGGUUUGCCAUCUCC